UACGGAGGGAGCUAGCGUUAUUCGGAAUUACUGGGCGUAAAGCGCACGUAGGCGGCUUUGUAAGUUAGAGGUGAAAGCCUGGAGCUACAACUCCAGAGCUGCCUUUAAGACUGCAUUCGCUUGAAUCCAGGAGAGGUGAGUGGAAUUCCGAGUGUAGAGGUGAAAUUCGUAGAUAUUCGGAAGAACACCAGUGGCGAAGGCGGCUCACUGGACUGGUAUUGACGCUGAGGUGGCGAAAGCGUGGGGAGCAAAGCAGG
rnacentral:rRNA from 1 species